UAGGUCGACCCGCUGAAUUUAAGCAUAUCACUAAGCGGAGGAAAAGAAACUAACCAGGAUUCCCCUAGUAACGGCGAGUGAAGAGGGAAAAGCCCAGCACCGAAGCCUGUGGCAAUUUUGCUGCUAGGCAAUGUGGUGUUUAGGUCGGCUCGUGGGAUCGCCACUCCACUCGAAGUCCAGCAUUGAGUAUGGUUCCCAGGAAUUGGCCCAUAGAGGGUGAAAGGCCCGUACGAGUGGAAGUGUCAGAUAUGUAAGGCGAUUCACCAGGCCGGCCUUAGAGUCGGGUUGUUUGCGAAUGCAGCCCAAAGUGGGUGGUAAACUCCAUCCAAGGCUAAAUACUAGCACGAGUCCGAUAGCGAACAAGUACCGUGAGGGAAAGUUGAAAAGUACUUUGAAGAGAGAGUAAACAGUACGUGAAACCGCAUAGAGGUAAACGGGUGGCGUCAAGCUGCAAGCCCAGAGAAUUCAGUCGGUCAGGGUGUUGUCAUGCGCCCAGCGCAUCUAUCAGUCGGUGUAGGAUUUGGCUAGUCCGCUUGAAGAUGGCGGGCCCAGCUAGCAAUAGCUGGGAUUUGCGUACCGGGCGGUAGCCGGAGCAUGCUAGCCGUCUGUAGGACUGCCUGGCCGAUGCACUUUCUCUGUUGGUGAACACCACGACCGGUGGUACUGCCAGUCUGCUGUAGCCAGCUUCGUUGCAUACUCUGGCCUUUUGGUUGGGGCGUGUGGCGAUCACAGACAAUUUCAGUGCACGGUGCUUGUGUGUUUUUCGCAUGCGGGCAUGUUAUCGGGAACUGGUUGUAAACGGGUCGGCCUGUCGACUUGUCUGUAGUCGUGGUUGAUGGGUGACCCGGUGGGCUAUGGUGGUAUGAAUAACUGUGCAGGGCACCGGAGUUUUCGGUCCGACCAGCAGUAGUCGUUCGCGGCUGCUGUUGCCGGCUGCAUACGCACUGCAGUUUAGCGUGUGCACUGUCUUUGGCAGUAGUACGGGCGGCGCUGUUUACGGCCUGCCAGUCGUUGGGUCUGAUUGUCGUGUCGCCUGCCAAAAUGGUGGGUCCGGCGGUGGCCUGGCGUUGGAUGGUGCCUGUAGACGGAGCUGUCGUUGUGCAGCCGGUAUUUGUGUGCGCGACCUUAUAGUCUGUGGUGUAGUGGUAGACGAGCUACCCGACCCGUCUUGAAACACGGACCAAGGAGUUUAACAUGCGCGCGAGUCAUUGGGUCCUACGAAACCCAGAGGCGCAGUGAAAGUAAAGCUUCGACAUAUAUUGUUCUCGGGGUGUGGUGAGAUCCUGCUGUUUCUCGCAUACAUUUGUCCAGCACUGGGCUAACUAAACGAGCAGUGGGCGCAUCACCGGCCCGUCCCAUGAUGUGGCUAUCUGUCAGUGGCAGUUGUCGCCUUACGGUGGUGGUUGCUUUCUGCGGGUACGUCAUCGGGGCGGAGCAUGAGCGCGCAUGUUGAGACCCGAAAGAUGGUGAACUAUGCUUGCGUAGGUUGAAGCCAGAGGAAACUCUGGUGGAGGACCGCAGCGAUUCUGACGUGCAAAUCGAUCGUCAAACGUGAGUAUAGGGGCGAAAGACUAAUCGAAC
rnacentral:rRNA from 1 species